AGGUCGCUAACAGGAGGCUAGACAACCAGGUGAAGACCUACAUCACCUACAACAAGGGCCGUGAUUGGAGGUUACUGCAGGCCCCGGCGACAGACCUGGCUGGCAACGACACCCACUAUAUACAGCCCUUCUGUUCGCAACUGCAGACGUCUGAAAACCCCUAACAGGCAGGCACCAUAUUAAACAAGGCCUCAACACUGGGAAUCAUAGUGGCCACAGGGAACAUUGAGUCGGAGCUGUCAAACGAUAAUGUUGGAAUGUUCAUCUCAUCUGAUGCUGGUAACAACUGGAGACAGGAUCAUUUUUGAUGAUGGGCUGCAGUGGACCAGCUUCUCUUUGGUGCCUCUGUUCGUGGACGGGAUGCUGGCGGAGGCCGGGACAGAGAACCAGAUCAUGAUGUUUUUCAAACACUUCAGCCAUAGGUCCAAGUGGCAGGUUAUCAAGAUAGACUACAAGGCCAUCCUCAACAGGAAAUGUACAGAAGGAGACUAUUAGACGUGGCACCUUCACAACAAGUUAAGACCUCUUAAACAGGAAGUCAGUCCAAUUCAUCAAUACGUAUCCUGAUUACCUAAUACCAAAGUAUUUACAUGGUAGUUAGCGACUAAACUUUAUUCAUAAUGAGCGAUACCUGGAGAAAAGCGGACCUCUCUGAAAUGAAAAUGGAUGGCCCUCCUUUCAGAUUUUUUUUUUUUUACUGUGCCUCCCUGAAUGCUAGAACAAAAGUCAGCCUUCCCAAUACACAAAAUAAUAAUUCAAACAUAAAGUCGAUUUAACCUAAUUUCUCAGACAGAACAGAGCAGUUUUAGAAACUGUUCUUCGUUUUGUAAGCUUUACAUGACAAAGUAGCCAGAAGGUUGUGGGUUCACAGGCCAUCGUGGACAAGAGUAGGGGUGAAAAGAUAUCCAUUAUGAUCAAAUAACUGCAUGAAUCUCUACAGGCUAUUGUUAAAAAAAGAGGAUAGUCUCAGUUUGGAACAGAGCUAAAGUUGGCGACCAGCACUAGGAAGAGUCUUGGUGGUUCCAAACUUCUUCCAUUUAAGAAUGAUGGAGGCCACUGUGUUUUUGGCGAUCUUCAAUGCUGCAGAAUUUUUUUGCUACCCUUCCCCAUGAAAUGUGUCUCAACAAAAUCCUGUCUCGGAGAUCUACGGACAAUUCCUUUGACCUCAAGGCUUGGUUUUCCUCUGACAUGCUCUAUCAACUGUGGGACCUUAUAUAGACAGGUGUGAGCCUUUCCAAAUCAUCUCCAAUCAAUUGAAUUUACCACAGAUGGACUCCAAUCAAGUUGGUGAAGCAUCCCAAGGAUGAUCAAUGGAAACAGGAUGCACCUGAGCUCGAUUUUGAGUCUCCUGGCAAA